CUACGGGACGCAGCAGUGGGGAAUAUUGCACAAUGGAGGAAACUCUGAUGCAGCAACGCCGCGUGGAGGAUGACACUUUUCGGAGCGUAAACUCCUUUUAUAUAGGAAGAAGAUGACGGUACUAUAUGAAUAAGCGCCGGCUAACUCCGUGCCAGCAGCCGCGGUAAUACGGAGGGCGCAAGCGUUACUCGGAAUCACUGGACGUAAAGAGCGUGUAGGCGGAUUAAAAAGUCAGAAGUGAAAUCCUGUAGCUUAACUAUAGAACUGCUUCUGAAACUCUUAAUCUAGAAUAUGGGAGAGGUAGAUGGAAUUUCUGGUGUAGGGGUAAAAUCCGUAGAGAUCAGAAGGAAUACCGAUUGCGAAGGCGAUCUACUAGAACAUUAUUGACGCUGAGACGCGAAAGCGUGGGGAGCAAACAGGAUUAGAUACCCUCGUAGUC
rnacentral:rRNA from 1 species